GUUCAAGAGUCCAGGAGGACUGGUAUCCGCUGGUCUUCAGUGCACGCUGGAAUCCUGAAGAAACGGAUUGUAAAUCCAGAGAAGAAAUGGACAUGCGAGUGAGAAGGUCUUCCACACAUCUGGAGCCAAAUGACUCUGCUGUCGCCUGACUCAAGGUUGACCUGUCAGAUCAGGUUGGUGGGCAAGCUUCCAGGAACAGCUGUGACCUUCUAGGAAGGGCCAGCCAGCAGUCAAGCCGGGAAGUGUGAUGGACAGAUGACAGCUACGUGUUUCUAACACUGUUGGUUAGAAACUUUCUCUAUUCUGCACAUCAGCAAGUGACUCUGGCUCCUGAGACCUCUACCAUCAAGCUUUCAAGGACAACUGGGUUCUCACCCCCAGUAGACCAAGCUGUUACCUAUACCACAGAAGCUGCAAGAGCCCCUGCCCUGGUCCCUUCAGACCUCACUCUCUGCACAGUGCUCCCAUGCAAUGAUGCUCUAUGUUCUAGCCAUGUCUUCCCAGCCGGAGCCAGCAUUCUGGGAGCCAAGCCUCCAGUUAGCCCAAAGAAGCAGUGAUGAAAAACUGGGCAGUGACCAUGCCUCACAGCUUGUGCUACAAGAUUUCGUGGUGGCCCGGGGAGGUAGCCUUGGUGAUGCUGCACUUUUGCUCAGGCCUCUACUAACUCAAAGAGAACACACAUCUUAGGCUGUCCCUUGCCCUGGCACAUUCCUCUCACCUCUCU